AUUGAACGCUGGCGGCAGGCCUAACACAUGCAAGUCGAACGAGUAGAGGACGGGUGAGUAAUGUCUGGGAAACUGCCUGGUGGAGGGGGAUAACUACUGGAAACGGUAGCUAAUACCGCAUACCAUCGGAUGUGGCCAGAUGGGAUUAGCUCGGAGGUGGGGUAACGGCUCACCUAGGCGACGAUCCCUAGCGGGUCUGAGCGGAUGACCAGCCACACUGGAAAUUAGACACGGUCCAGACUCCUACGGGAGGCAGCAGUAGGGAAUCUUCGGAAAUGGACGAAAGGCUGACCGAGCAACGCCGCGGUAAUAC
rnacentral:rRNA from 1 species